GAUGAACGCUGGCGGCGUGCCUAAUACAUGCAAGUCGAGCGAACAGAUGAGGAGCUUGCUCCUCUGACGUUAGCGGCGGACGGGUGAGUAACACGUGGAUAACCUACCUAUAAGACUGGGAUAACUUCGGGAAACCGGAGCUAAUACCGGAUAAUAUAUUGAACCGCAUGGUUCAACAGUGAAAGACGGUUUUGCUGUCACUUAUAGAUGGAUCCGCGCCGCAUUAGCUAGUUGGUAAGGUAACGGCUUACCAAGGCAACGAUGCGUAGCCGACCUGAGAGGGUGAUCGGCCACACUGGAACUGAGACACGGUCCAGACUCCUACGGGAGGCAGCAGUAGGGAAUCUUCCGCAAAGGGCGAAAGCUUGACGGAGCAACGCCGCGUGAGUGAUGAAGGUCUUCGGAUCGUAAAACUCUGUUAUUAGGGAAGAACAAAUGUGUAAGUAACUAUGCACGUCUUGACGGUACCUAAUCAGAAAGCCACGGCUAACUACGUG
rnacentral:rRNA from 1 species